rnacentral:lncRNA from 1 species
ACAAAUGGCGAUGCUACUCACCUCACACGCUUCUCUAUUCUUUAAGAACCCUAAAACCCUUCGAUUAUCUUCAAUCCCCACCCAAAGCCCUUCUCUCUCAUUCGCCAAAGUCUCCACCCAAAACCCUCUUUUCUCCUCCAUUCGCCUCUAUGCCGCAUCCCCCGACAACCCUGACUCUUCCUCCAUCAAACCACCGUCGGCCAGCGACGGUGAUGCAUCGGAUUCCGAGGCGUCUGAUCAAGACAUUCAACAUGAUGCUGCUCCUGCUGGUGUCGCCGACGAAUGGGGUGAGAAGGCGGAGCCGGAGCUGGAGCCGGAGCCGGAGCCGGAGGAUUCGUACACGAAGCUCUCCGGCGCCGACCCACCCAGAGACGAGGAUGAGUGGGGUGGAGAUGGGGAUGCGAAGGACGCGUACAUCAAGUCGGGCAAUGGGAUAGCAACCGCAGCGGCGGCGGAGGUGGAUGAGGUUGGGGA